AACAGCAUUAUAUUAGCCCGCGCCUAAUAUCACAAUAUAUAGUACUCUUUAAAAGAGAGAGAGAAUUAUAGAAUAUGAGAUAUAGUAUGUAAUAUGUUUUAUAAAAAAAAAAAAAAAAAAAAUCUAGCCAAAAAAAAUUCCCCGAUAAAAAAAUUUCCUUUGGGUUAAAAAAAAUUAUAUGAAACCUAUUUUACCAAAAAAAUUUGGGGGGGGAAUUUAAAAAAUUUAAAAAUUUUUAAAUUUUUGGAUAACCGCAACUGCUGGCCCAAAAAUUGUUUUUUAUUUUCCCCUUACUAAAUUUUAAUUUUUUAAAUUUUUAAUAUUAAUUACUUCUAUAAAAAUUUUAUAAUUUUUAAAAUUUUUAAAAUUCCCCCCUAAAAUUUAUAUGUAAAAAAAGUUCAUAAAAAAUUUUUUAAACCCUAAGAAAUUUUU
rnacentral:rRNA from 1 species